AUUCUCCUCCAAGCCUAUAUCCGAGUUUGAUGGGACCUUCUUGUUGCUCAGCUGAGUCCUGGGCUCUUCUCCCUUCCAGAAGCCCCAUUGUUCCAGUGGCAGCAGAUCUGUUGUCACCACACCUUUCCUGUCUCUAUACAUACAAUGAAUACUGACGGAAACAGCCAUAGCAUCUGUGAUACCAGAUGAACAAUUUUAGUUUGUCAUUACAAUUGGGUGACAGUUAGUGGAAGACCUGGAUACCUUUUAUUCACCAACACUCAUUCAGGAAUUUGUUGUCAGGAAGACAGAAAAGUGAAAAAUGUCAAACCUGUAAUUCUGAGGUGGCCCAGCCUCUGUCCAUGAGUUUUUACCAGUCUUGAUCUGUGACUUUGGACCACUGUUGAUACUAAAGGAUAGAGAAGUUGAAACAGCUUUUUGUUUUAUUUAAUCCUACUUGCAUGUUGGACAAGAGUCCUCCCCGUGUAUCAGGUUUUCAGCUCCAGUAGGAGCUGGACCUGUUCCAUGUGAAUGGAAAUAAUUAUGGACAUGUACAACAAAUUCAUUAAUCUCAAGAAGAGGGAUUGGUUUCCGAGAACAGGAUUCACACCAGUCUGUUAGCACAGCACAACAUUCCAUAUGGCCACACAUUCCUCUGAGGAAUUUUACUGUUUACAAAGGGUGCCACAAAUGAGUUGAUGUGCUCAUCCACCUCCUCUGAAAUGCUGAGAAGAAGAGAAGCCCUCACUAAGGCAGGAUGGGCAGGUAUUCAGCUGUGUCUCAGCAUUUCCUUAACUUCUCCAAAGCCAAAGUUCAGAGAAAUGCCUCCUCCAGCCUGCGGUGGACUUGUAUCUAUUGCUGCAAAAAUCCUGUGAGCUUCGGAAAAAAAUGUAAGGGCUGGAUGGGAGUUCAAAGGUGAAGUGACUUUUCAGAAGAAACAGAACACUAUGAUUACAGUCUGGAAAGUCAAUAAUUUGAGACAUAUCAACAUUAACACCUGAAUGUGAAAUGUGUUCAUCUGCCCAAGUUUCUAGUGGAUACCACCAGCUCAAAAAUUCACUAAAACGCUUGUCCAAACCACUAAAUCAGAAAAAAUACAUGCAGUUCAUUACUAAUUCUUGUCACUAGGCAUGAUGGCAACCAAUUGAUUUAGGCUGAUUAUUGGCUGAUUUGAGAGGUGUUUUGGGCUUUACAGAAGGUGUUAAUAUUGAGACUUGAGCUUUAUUUAAUGAUGUGUUGAAUGACUUCCACAACUGAUGUCAUCUUGCAAGAAGAAAUUCCUCAGUCAUCCCACGUAGUUCUAGAAAUUUGAGGCUCUUUUUGGAUGAAUCUCUUUCUCUCACCAUUGUUAUAGAGCUAUGCAAAGGAAGAAAAAGUCAGUGAAUUUAAUCCAACCAAUCUGGAACUUUGUGGGACAAAAUGAAACUCUGUCCAGAAGCUGUAGCCUAUAGAAUACUGGAAGUAGCUGUAGUUUCAAUAAGCCAUUUUGCAGAUUUAAAUUAAUUUCAUGUCCUUUUGACUGACCUGAUCUCCUUUGAAUGUGCUUAAAGAAAGUAUUUUCUCUAUAUGUGCCAAGGCCACUAGGUUGAGGGUUAGUGCUAAAAAGCAUCUCUACUAGAACAAGGAAGGUAAUUCAGGUAAUUCAGAUGGUUAUCUAUGCAUAAGAAAGUAAAGAUUUCAUUCAACUUUCUACUGGAGUUCAAGUGACAUGUAUAUGUAUGCAUGAAUAUUUGUGGGCUGAAAAUUUUAAUUGUUCUUCUGCUGGUCAAUAAGGUGAGUGCCCAGUAGGACCUGUGCUCACUCCUCCAAAAGCAGACAAC